rnacentral:rRNA from 1 species
GAAGCGAUAAGUGGAGCGGUGAAAGGCUCAGUAACGGGCGAUUUAUUUGAUCUCCUGGGACGGACAACAUGGGGAAACUGAUGGGAAAACGUCUAAGUUGCAGUUUAUUGAUUGUGACGUAAACCUUUGUGUGCAGGAGAGUAAGAUGCCAUCCUAUCAGUUAGUAAGUAGGGUAAGGGCCUACUUAGACGAAGACGGGUACGGGGAAUGAGGGUUUGAUUCCGGAGAAGGAGCCUGAGAGAUGGCUACCAGGACCAAGGUCAGCAGCAGGCGCGAAAAUUAUCGAAGCCCGCCUAGGGGCGAUAGUGAGGAGACGUGUAUACGAAGUACGUGUAAAGACCGUACUAAUAACUGGAGGUCAAGUCUGGUGCCAGCAGCCGCG